CACCGCGGUUAUACGAGAGGCCCAAGUCGACAGAGCUCGGUGUAAAGAGUGUUUAAUAGUACAUAAACUAAGGCCGAACAUCUUCAAGGCUGUCAUACGCACCCGAAGGAAGGAAGCCCCCAUACGAAAGUAGCCUUAAUGGACUAUGAACCCACGAAAGCUAGGGAA
rnacentral:rRNA from 1 species